rnacentral:lncRNA from 1 species
AAUUAAUACUAUGCCUGACAGAGUGGAAACCUGAAAAACAUUUGCUGAAUGAAUGAAAAGACUUAUGAAAGAUGUCUUUGCAAUGAGGUCAAGUGUUCCAGGGCACUGAUGGUGUCCACGUGGAGGCUCGGCAUUCUUCAGUGACAUCAGGAUUGUAUCAUAGGAAAAAGUGAACAUCCUCUUCGUCUUGAAUGCUUCCUAAAAGCACCAGCCCAGCUCAAGUGGCAGUAACAGUAAAGGAAACCUGGAAGGAAUGGGCACUUUCAGAGUAAGUGAAUUUUUCCUAGAUGUAUG